rfam:Colius striatus contig79054, whole genome shotgun sequence.
AGAAGCUUAGGAUGGACCCUAAACCAAAGGCCUUCAAAGUCUUAAACAACAGUUAAAACCUCUUAGCUUCUG